UACAGAGGUCUCAAGCGUUGUUCGGAAUUACUGGGCGUAAAGGGCGCGUAGGCGGCCAUCUAAGUCAGACGUGAAAUCCCCCCGGCUUAACCUGGGAACUGCGUCUGAUACUGGAAGGCUUGAGUAUGGGAGAGGGAUGUAGAAUUCCAGGUGUAGCGGUGAAAUGCGUAGAUAUCUGGAGGAAUACCGGUGGCGAAGGCGGCAUCCUGGACCAUUACUGACGCUGAGGCGCGAAAGCUAGGGGAGCAAACGGG
rnacentral:rRNA from 1 species